UACGAAGGGAGCUAGCGUUGUUCGGAAUCACUGGGCGUAAAGCGCACGUAGGCGGAUGUGUCAGUCAGGGGGUGAAAUCCCGGGGGCUCAACCUCGGAACUGCCUUUGAUACAGCACGUCUUGAGUCCGAUAGAGGUGGGUGGAAUUCCUAGUGUAGAGGUGAAAUUCGUAGAUAUUAGGAAGAACACCGGUGGCGAAGGCGGCCCACUGGAUCGGUACUGACGCUGAGGUGCGAAAGCGUGGGGAGCAAACAGG
rnacentral:rRNA from 1 species